GGGCGCUUGGUUUUUCAAGUUGGCUCCCUCCUUUCUUUUAGUCAAUUGUAGUCUCCUCUGCUGUUGUUUUCACAGCAGCCAGGCAGCACUAACAACUUCUCUCUCAGUUCCACACACAAGGUGCCUCUUUUCCCUUUCAUCUUUUCUAUCUUUACUUCUCAAUCUCCUCGUUUUACUCUCCAAUUCAAUUUCAUUCUUGAUUCUGACAAUAAAAUGCAUGUUAGAGUUUGACAAAAAUACCUUUGUUUUAGCGUUCCUUUCUGUCUGCUUCUUCAAUUAAGAUGCGUUGUUCCCUUGUGUCUGCUUGCUAAACUUUCUGUUUGCUUCUUGGGAUUUUAGAGCUUUAGUAUUGCUUAACUCUUGUAGAAAAUAUGCUCGCAAGUGGCCUUUUCCCCACUUUAUAUAUUUAUUUUUCGUGUGUAGCUUUUUGGGUUUAUUUGCAAUACUCUUUUUGGGAAGUCUUUUUCUCCUCAAAAGAGACAGAGUAAGGCAAUUUCAGACUUUUUUUGAGUUGGAUAUUGUUUUGAUAUUGAAUGAUGAUUCAUAAUGUUCUUGUAAUUCAGAUAUUAGGUGGUCUUGUUCCUGUACUUGAAGACGGUGUGUGAACAAAGAUAAGUGAUUGAAAAUGAACUGGCUGAGGUCACGAUGAGCAUUUGGUGAUGCUUGUAGUUGAAUGAAACUUGACUUUUUAUGAACACCUUAAAAUUUUCUUUUGUGAUUUUUUUUAAUAUUAAAAAACAUAUAGAUGGUACAUGGGCGGCGUAUUUGUCAACAAUGUUGAAUAAAGUGAAGGUGAGGAUACAUGCAAGUAUUUUGUCGAAUGAUGACUAGCUAAUUAAUGUAGGUUAAGUAAUGGUACUCUAUAUCCAUCUGAAACUUGAUAUCUUGUUUAGAAGAAUCAGUUAAAGAAAGGAUGUGUGGCGGUUUAACUUACCUGUAAUAUUGUACAGACAGAUCUUAGGUCAAUAAGAUCAUGAAUUGAAUUCCCUUAGGGCUUAUUAUUAUUAUUAUUAUU
rnacentral:misc_RNA from 1 species